CCCAAGGACCCCACCCCACCCGGGAGCAGAUGAUCGAGACCUACCUCAACACCCUCGCCACCGUUCUUCGAAGGUAAAGGGAUUUAAGAUUUAAAAAGAUCGAAUCUUUGUGGAACAGGGAUCCUCUUUCUGAAGAUUUUUCAAGAUUUCUAAUGUCCGGCAACUUGAUACAUGGUAAUUUCAUAUUUUGUUAUCUUAUUUUUAUUUUUAAUGAACUAUGACCGUUUUCCUGAAUGUCUUUCUUGGAAUCAUGAUGAUUGGUAUCAUUCUUGAAGUAUUUAUCUGUUCUGGUAUCAUUCUUUUUUUUUAAAGAGAUAAAUGGAAAAAAAAUGCAUCAAUGUCUGAAAGGAUAAAAUAAGCAUCAAAUUAACAAAGUUGCCAAAUGUGAUAGCUAAAAUUUACACUGUAUUAAUUUAACUCUGUGUCAUUGUGAUGAAAUGAAAUACAAGGAUAUUGUAACAAGUGUUCAUGCAAGCACACUAGUUUGUGGAUACUUGAGCAUAUGUCCUAGCUAGUCAAUGGAAUUUCUGCUCAUAUGGUGGAGGUAGCCACGCACCCUUCACUCCAAACGCCAGUCAGGUGAGUGUUCAAUGUGGUUGUGUGGCUAUAUUAUUGACCACUCGAUGUACCCUGGUCAAGAAGAUUAUUUCGGACUCCAAAUGUAGGAUGAUUAAGGACCACAAAGUAGUUUAUAUGCUAUAACUUUCUUCUUGUAAGACCACCUUUUAGACUACAUCAACAAGCUACUAUUUUCCUAAUUCCCUAUUCCUCUAUUCGAGAAAAGUAUACAUGUAGGGGACGUCGUGUGAGAAACCAAAAGGUGAGAUUAUAAUGUUUUAUUUAGAUUUUUAAUUUAUAUUUUUUUGAAGGUGAGAUCAAAAGCUGGCAAAAAGAAUAGGAAAAAGCUUGAGUACAAUCAUUAUUCAGGAUUUUGGUCAUUUGUUGCAACAAUGACUAUACCAGUAAUAUGUUUUUGAGUAUGUACUGGCUAUAUUUUUAGUGAACUGCAUGUGAAAUAGUCUAUGGGAUAGUUUUGGCUAUUGUAAAAUAGACAAUUUGCUGCAAGUAGAUUUUUUAUUCUAGUUUGCUACAAGUAUAUUUUUGGAAUCCUUUUAUGCAAGUAGAUUUGACAGUUAUUCUAGUUUUCUUAUUAUGUAGUGGCUAUAUGCUAAUCUAAAUUACACUUUGCAGCCAGAGUUUAAUGGUUGUGAAAAUCUAGAAUUUCCAGAAUUCUAUAAGCAAACUCAUACUAAGAAGAACAAAGAGUGGAUUGAUCCUAUUUGUGCCGUGAAACAUAGUUCUUAAAGAAAAGAGCGAGAGAUGGAGCGUGAGGAGCUGCAGAGGCAAUUGAAGCAGGAGAGAAGAGAGCGUGAGGAGGAAAGAGAAGAGCGAGAGGAAGAACAGAAGCAAAUUGGACAUCUUACAAGUUUGGUGAUAGAGUUCUUAAAAGAAAAGACUCAAACGCACAAGUCAUCUAUCCAUCAAGAUGGGGCCAUGUAUUCAACUGGUGGUACAAAUACUCGUUGAUACAUGGUGGAGUUAUGAGCAUGUGAAAUCUAGUUUUUGGUACAUGGAUAGCUUUUGUUCAGAUGAUCAUGGUGGAGUUGUUUACAAGCAGAAUCAAGUUUUUGGUAUAAGAAUAUUUUUGUCUACAUGAUGGUGGUUUGGAUGAAUAGCAAGAUCAGAUAUUUUGGAAUUUUUAAUUUACAUUUUGAUGUGUUUGGUGAUGAUUAUCACCUUAACAUAUGGUAUGGAUGAAACAUUAUGAUGUAUGGUUAAUAGGUAUGCUUGACUUUAGACUUAUAAAUAAUGAUUUAUAAUGAAUGAUUAUGGAUUCUCCAACAUUGUGUA